rnacentral:rRNA from 1 species
AACGAACGCUAGCGGCAGGCUUAACACAUGCAAGUCGAGCGCCCCGCAAGGGGAGCGGCAGACGGGUGAGUAACGCGUGGGAACGUGCCCUUUGGUUCGGAACAACUCCGGGAAACUGGAGCUAAUACCGGAUAAGCCCUUCGGGGGAAAGAUUUAUCGCCAAAGGAUCGGCCCGCGUCUGAUUGGCUAGUUGGUGAGGUAAUGGCUCACCAAGGCGACGAUCAGUAGCUGGUCUGAGAGGAUGAUCAGCCACACUGGGACUGAGACACGGCCCAGACGCCUACGGGAGGCAGCAGGGGGGAAUAUUGGACAAGGGGCGCAAGCCUGAUCCAGCCAUGCCGCGUGAGUGAUGAAGGCCUUAGGGUUGUAAAGCUCUUUUGUCCGGGAAGAUAUGACUGUACCGGAAGAAUAAGCCCCGGCUAACUUCGUGCCAGCCGCCGCCGUAA